UGCGUAGGCGGACACGUAAGUGCUUUGUGAAAUCCCACGGCUCAACCGUGGAAGUGCUUGGCAUACUGCGUGUCUUGAGAUCGGCAGGGGGCUGUCGGAACUGUAGGUGUAGCGGUGAAAUGCGUAGAUAUCUACAGGAACACCCAUGGCGAAGGCAGACAGCUGGGCCGAUUCUGACGCUGAGGCACGAAAGCGUGGGGAGCAAACA
rnacentral:rRNA from 1 species